rnacentral:misc_RNA from 1 species
AGUAGGAACGAAGCAUUAGAUGCUGCUCCUUAUUUUCCUCCGUUUAAUCUGAACUUUGCGUAAUACUCUCUUACCAAUUUACCUUUUUUUCUCUCUCAUAUUUUCUCAGGUGUGGAGUGGAAAACUAAUUGACCGUACAAAUGGAGAUUAUGCUUAACAACACUGUGCUAACGUGCGCUUCCACGCUUUUACCCUCCACUCAGGAUGGUGUGCCACUGUUGGCAAUUGAGACCAAAGUCAAGGGAGAUCAGAACACAAAUGAUGAGCAGACCAAAGUAGUUGAUGCUGAUGAGGAAGGUGGAGAUGGAGACGACAACGAUGAGAAUGGAAAUGAAGGCUUUGAGGAGGGUGAAGAAGAGUAUUCUGAUGAAGGGGUUCAUGGAAACAAAAGCAAAGGAAAUGCCAAGAAAAGCAAUGGAGAAGGUGAGGAGAAUGGAGAUGCAGAAGAUGAAGAGGAUGGUGGUGAAGAAGGUCAUGAUGAUGACGGUGACGAUGACGAUGAUGGCGAUGGCGAUGAUGAUAAUGGUGAUGAUGAAGAAGCUGAAGAAGGAGAGGGUGAAGAAGAAGAAGUCGUAGAGGACGAUCCAGAAGAUGAUGAUGAAGAGGAUGAA